rnacentral:rRNA from 1 species
GCACGUUAUGGUGGGCGACUCUAAGGAGACUGCCGGUGACAAACCGGAGGAAGGUGGGGAUGACGUCAAGUCAUCAUGGCCCUUACGGCCUGGGCUACACACGUGCUACAAUGGUCGGUACAAAGGGUUGCCAAGCCGCGAGGUGGAGCUAAUCCCAUAAAACCGAUCGUAGUCCGGAUCGCAGUCUGCAACUCGACUGCGUGAAGUCGGAAUCGCUAGUAAUCGUGAAUCAGAAUGUCACGGUGAAUACGUUCCCGGGCCUU